UCCUACGGGGGGCAGCAGUGAGGAAUAUUGGUCAAUGGCCGCAGGGCUGAACCAGCCAAGUCGCGUGAGGGAUGACGGUCCUAUGGAUUGUAAACCUCUUUUGUCAGGGAGCAAAGGGCGCCACGUGUGGCGUUUUGCGAGUACCUGAAGAAAAAGCAUCGGCUAACUCCGUGCCAGCAGCCGCGGUAAUACGGAGGAUGCGAGCGUUAUCCGGAUUUAUUGGGUUUAAAGGGUGCGCAGGCGGAAUGUCAAGUCAGCGGUAAAAUUUCGGGGCUCAACCCCGUCGCGUCGUUGAAACUGGCGUU
rnacentral:rRNA from 1 species